rnacentral:rRNA from 1 species
GACGAACGCUGGCGGCGUGCUUAACACAUGCAAGUCGAACGGGAAGGCCCUGCUUUUGUGGGGUGCUCGAGUGGCGAACGGGUGAGUAACACGUGAGUAACCUGCCCUUGACUUUGGGAUAACUUCAGGAAACUGGGGCUAAUACCGGAUAGGAGCUCCUGCUGCAUGGUGGGGGUUGGAAAGUUUCGGCGGUUGGGGAUGGACUCGCGGCUUAUCAGCUUGUUGGUGGGGUAGUGGCUUACCAAGGCUUUGACGGGUAGCCGGCCUGAGAGGGUGACCGGCCACAUUGGGACUGAGAUACGGCCCAGACUCCUACGGGAGGCAGCAGUGGGGAAUAUUGCACAAUGAGCGGAAGCCUGAUGCAGCAACGCCGCGUGCGGGAUGACGGCCUUCGGGUUGUAAACCGCUUUCGCCUGUGACGAAGCGUGAGUGACGGUAAUGGGUAAAGAAGCACCGGCUAACUACGUG